CUCUACAGCAGAGUGGAGACGUGCUGGAAUUCAGAGUUCACCACAGCGUGUCAAGGGGAAGGGAAGUUGGGAACAGCAUGUGUGAUCAGGACCUAAGGACUUCUGCCCCAGUUCAUUCAAGGGCACAGCUGAGUGCAGUUUGAAAAGGCAGAAAGAGCUGGGCACAGACACCCCUGAAUUGUCUGCACCAGGAGAAGUGGCCGUCUCCCCGUUAUCAGAGAGAGAGCAUCUCCCCUUGCCUGGAGGCACUUCAGAGACUUCACCUGACGCAGGGAAUCUGUGCAUCUGAAGAUGGCUCCUGUCCUUUCGCAACAUGGCAGCAAGCCAUGUGUUUGAGACAUAUGCAGAGGCUGCUGCGGUGCUGAAGACCCCAGUGAGACAAUCAGAAAGAGAAAGUGCGCAGAAGAAACAUCUGCCCCCAAGUGAUGGAAAUACACCAAAGUCUGUUUUCAGGAUUGCUCUGUCGUUUUUUGGAAUAAAUUAUUUUUCUGCUUUCUACGGAACAAUACUCAAACUAAUAAAAACAAUUUAGUUAGUUGUGACAUGCUAAAGCAUGUAGUUAAAAAGCAGUAACUAGUUACAAAUAUCUAAUGGAGAAACAGUUUCCAAUAACCAUAGCUACAGAAAUUGUCAAAUAUCUAGAAUAAACUUCUAUGAAAUGAGCAGCCAUUUGUCCUACCAGAUAUUACAACAUAUAACAAAAUAAUGGAUAACAAGUAACACUAGUUGAGAUAGUCUAGGAGCAACAUAGGCUAAGGCUGGCAAAUUGAUGAAAAUGAAUUACAAGUCCAAAGACAGAUAAAAAUAUACAUGAAAUUGUAAUACAUGAUAAAGGUGGCCCCUCAAACUAGAUAAAUAAGAGUAAAUUUUUCAAUAAUUGGUCUAAUGCCUAACCAUUUGGAAAAAAAUGAAAUUUCUACUUCACACAAUAAAUCCACAUCAAUACCAGGUAACAUAAAGAUGUGAAUGUAAACUGUGAAAUUAUAAAAACUCCAAAGAAAAAUAGUUAUAUACAUUCUGGGUACGGAAGUACUUUCUAAGAAUUGUGCCAAAGACAGAAAUUGUAAAUGAAUAAAAUCAUUAGAUUUUGACAAUGUUAAGAAAUUUGUAUAUCAAAAAAAAUCUUAAAUAAAAAUAACAGGCCAGUCUGGAAGGGUAAGGGGGAAGGAGGGAUAAAGGGAAAAAAAUAUAUAAAUGUGUUUAUUACUGUGACCUGUACACCUAAAAAUGGUAAAGAUGGUAAAUUAUAUAUGCAUAUUUUACUGCAAUAAAAAAUAAAGUUAGAAAAGAAUAAACUUAUCUUUCCCUCCAAAAAAAUAUUAAUAGGCAAACAACAACAUGGGAAGAAAUAUUUGCAACUUAUAAAGGAAGCAAUGAUUUGCUAUCCGUAAUAUAUAUAAAUCAACAGAAAAAAAGAUGAAUUGUCCAACAAAAAAAUGAACAGAAGACAUGAGGAUACAAUUCACAAAAGGAAAAAUAUAAACAAAUGUUGAUGCUGAAUAAAUAGUCAAGCUCAAUAAUGACCAGAAAAAUGCAAAUUUAAAAAAAUGAGAUACCGUUGAAUACAUAGCUACAAAACUGGCAUAUUUAAUCAUGAUAAUAACUAGAAUUAAAGAAGACGUGGGGAAAUGGGUACCCUCAUGCCCUGAUGGCUUGUGUAUAAUAUACACAAACUCUUUGAAGGACCUUUUAGAAAUAAAUAACAAAAAUCUGAAUAAUAUUUAUAUAUUUUGAACCAGAAAUUACACAUCUAGCGUCCAUGUCCAGAGCAUUUAUAAAAAUAUGCAUAUUUUUGGUCCGG
rnacentral:lncRNA from 1 species